UGCAGUCGACGGCAGCACGGGAGCAAUCCUGGUGGCGAGUGGCGAACGGGUGAGUAAUACAUCGGAACGUGCCCUGUCGUGGGGGAUAACUAGUCGAAAGAUUAGCUAAUACCGCAUACGACCUGAGGGUGAAAGCGGGGGACCGCAAGGCCUCGCGCGAUAGGAGCGGCCGAUGUCUGAUUAGCUAGUUGGUGGGGUAAAGGCCCACCAAGGCGACGAUCAGUAGCUGGUCUGAGAGGACGAUCAGCCACACUGGGACUGAGACACGGCCCAGACUCCUACGGGAGGCAGCAGUGGGGAAUUUUGGACAAUGGGGGCAACCCUGAUCCAGCAAUGCCGCGUGUGUGAAGAAGGCCUUCGGGUUGUAAAGCACUUUUGUCCGGAAAGAAAUCCCUUGCCCUAAUACGGCGGGGGGAUGACGGUACCGGAAGAAUAAGCACCGGCUAACUACGUGCCAGCAGCCGCGGUAAUACGUAGGGUGCGAGCGUUAAUCGGAAUUACUGGGCGUAAAGCGUGCGCAGGCGGUUUUGUAAGACAGGCGUGAAAUCCCCGAGCUCAACUUGGGAAUGGCGCUUGUGACUGCAAGGCUAGAGUAUGUCAGAGGGGGGUAGAAUUCCACGUGUAGCAGUGAAAUGCGUAGAGAUGUGGAG
rnacentral:rRNA from 1 species